GAUGAACGCUGGCGGCGUGCCUAAUACAUGCAAGUCGAGCGAACAGACGAGGAGCUUGCUCCUCUGACAUUAGCGGCGGACGGGUGAGUAACACGUGGAUAACCUACCUAUAAGACUGGGAUAACUUCGGGAAACCGGAGCUAAUACCGGAUAAUAUAUUGAACCGCAUGGUUCAAUAGUGAAAGACGGUUUUGCUGUCACUUAUAGAUGGAUCCGCGCCGCAUUAGCUAGUUGGUAAGGUAACGGCUUACCAAGGCAACGAUGCGUAGCCGACCUGAGAGGGUGAUCGGCCACACGGGAACUGAGACACGGUCCAGACUCCUACGGGAGGCAGCAGUAGGGAAUCUUCCGCAAUGGGCGAAAGCCUGACGGAGCAACGCCGCGUGAGUGAUGAAGGUCUUCGGAUCGUAAAACUCUGUUAUUAGGGAAGAACAAAUGUGUAAGUAAAUAUGCACGUCUUGACGGUACCUAAUCAGAAAGCCACGGCUAACUACGUG
rnacentral:rRNA from 1 species